rnacentral:rRNA from 1 species
ACAUCCAGAGAACUUAGCAGAGAUGCUUUGGUGCCUUCGGGAACUCUGAGACAGGUGCUGCAUGGCUGUCGUCAGCUCGUGUUGUGAAAUGUUGGGUUAAGUCCCGCAACGAGCGCAACCCUUAUCCUUUGUUGCCAGCGGCUCGGCCGGGAACUCAAAGGAGACUGCCGGUGAUAAACCGGAGGAAGGUGGGGAUGACGUCAAGUCAUCAUGGCCCUUACGGCCAGGGCUACACACGUGCUACAAUGGCGCAUACAAAGAGAAGCGACCUCGCGAGAGCAAGCGGACCUCACAAAGUGCGUCGUAGUCCGGAUUGGAGUCUGCAACUCGACUCCAUGAAGUCGGAAUCGCUAGUAAUCGUAGGUCAGAAUGCUACGGUGAAUACGUUCCCGGGCCUUGUACACACCGCCCGUCACACCAUGGGAGUGGGUUGCAAAAGAAGUAGGUAGCUUAACCUUCGGGAGGGCGCUUACCACUUUGUGAUUCAUGACUGGGGUGAAGUCGUAACAAGGUAAGCGUAGCGAG